rnacentral:rRNA from 1 species
AUUGAACGCUGGCGGCAUGCCUUACACAUGCAAGUCGAACGGCAGCGCGGGAGCAAUCCUGGCGGCGAGUGGCGAACGGGUGAGUAAUACAUCGGAACGUGCCCAAUCGUGGGGGAUAACGCAGCGAAAGCUGUGCUAAUACCGCAUACGAUCUACGGAUGAAAGCAGGGGAUCGCAAGACCUUGCGCGAAUGGAGCGGCCGAUGGCAGAUUAGGUAGUUGGUGAGGUAAAGGCUCACCAAGCCUUCGAUCUGUAGCUGGUCUGAGAGGACGACCAGCCACACUGGGACUGAGACACGGCCCAGACUCCUACGGGAGGCAGCAGUGGGGAAUUUUGGACAAUGGGCGAAAGCCUGAUCCAGCCAUGCCGCGUGCAGGAUGAAGGCCUUCGGGUAGUAAACUGCUUUUGUACGGAACGAAACGGUCUUUUCUAAUAAAGAAGGCUAAUGACGGUACCGUAAGAAUAAGCACCGGCUAACUACGUG